UACGUAGGGGGCAAGCGUUGUCCGGAAUUAUUGGGCGUAAAGGGCGCGUAGGCGGCAUGGCAAGUGGAUGGUGGAAUCCCUCGGCUUAACCGAGGAACUGCCGUCCAAACUGCUUCGCUUGAGACCGGGAGAGGUGAGUGGAAUUCCCAGUGUAGCGGUGAAAUGCGUAGAUAUCAGGAGGAACACCUGUGGCGAAAGCGGCUCACUGGACCAUAACUGACGCUGAUGCACGAAAGCUAGGGGAGCAAACAGG
rnacentral:rRNA from 1 species